rnacentral:rRNA from 1 species
GACGAACGCUGGCGGCGUGCCUAAUACAUGCAAGUUGAGCGCUGAAGGUUGGUACUUGUACCAACUGGAUGAGCAGCGAACGGGUGAGUAACGCGUGGGGAAUCUGCCUUUGAGCGGGGGACAACAUUUGGAAACGAAUGCUAAUACCGCAUAAAAACUUUAAACACAAGUUUUAAGUUUGAAAGAUGCAAUUGCAUCACUCAAAGAUGAUCCCGCGUUGUAUUAGCUAGUUGGUGAGGUAAAGGCUCACCAAGGCGAUGAUACAUAGCCGACCUGAGAGGGUGAUCGGCCACAUUGGGACUGAGACACGGCCCAAACUCCUACGGGAGGCAGCAGUAGGGAAUCUUCGGCAAUGGACGAAAGUCUGACCGAGCAACGCCGCGGGAGUGAAGAAGGUUUUCGGAUCGUAAAACCCUGUUGGUAGAGAAGAACGUUGGUGAGAGUGGAAAGCUCAUCAAGUGACGGUAACUACCCAGAAAGGGACGGCUAACUACGUG